GAAAACUCAUCACUGAGUGGAGUUCAGUGGUCGCCGCCUCCUCGUGGCACCGCCCUAGAGCUAUCAGAAGGUUUCUGAGUUGACGGUUGCCCCCUCCCCCGGGCCUCCCACCCAGGUGUCUGUCAAGGUCGCUGUAAACCAAUCUCGUCCAUAUGGCUCUAGAAUAAAAAGAAACGCUGUUAUACAGAUUAUCUGCGAAGGGUGAAGACGGAGUGAAAAGCAACCAAGAGAGAAGAUGAAAAGAGACGUUUAGGGGUAGGGGGCUAAGAGUGUGAAACAAAAAGAUUUCUCGGCCUGUGGAGCCAGUGGACCAGGCACUGCGUUGACUGCCUAGCUUCAAAAUACCCUUGGAAGUAGUGGGCAAAGGCAAAGACAAGGUGAAAAAACACUGCAUCCCUUGGCAGUGGUCCAGCUCUGUGCCCCUCGAAUUUAUAAUCUGACCUUGUGUGGGGGUUGCUAUUGUUUCUUCAGAAAUGUACCCCAUCCCCCUUGGUAUGUACUCAAUGGACAUGAAACUGAGCAAAGUGAAGGACAAGGAAAUCUGCAUUCUAUGGGCUCGCAAAAAGUUGGACGUGCCUUAGCGAGUGAAUAAUAAUCCCCCUGGGGUUUGACUCCUAGUUCCUGAAGUCUCCCAGAUGCGUGGCAGUUAGAAUGUACAGUCACCACGUCUACGCGGUGAAAAAGCGGAGAGCAGAGAGGUCAUUGUCUACAAGACUUUAAAUUCUAAGAUAAAAAUGGUUGAAAAAUUUAGAAAAAAAUUCAAAGCAAAAAAAUCUUGAAGAGAAAAUCUCGAAGUCUGUUGACAGCUUAAUGAUUGACUGCAAAGAUUUGAGAUGAGUUUGUGUAGCUGCUCCAAUACUGUGACCUUGGGCAAGUACAUGAACCUACCCUCCCGUUUCUUCCUGUGAAGAAGAGUGCAAUUACUAAACUUCUUUUUAGUGGGGGAGACCAGUAAUGCUCGCUAGUGAAUUCUAAGCACUUAGCCAGAUGCGCAGGUAAUUGGGUUAAAUCAUCGCAACCAAGAAUAUCAUUCUAUCUUAAAACUUGUGAAGAGGAGACCACAGGCUAACUAAGGGCCUGGGAUAAAGAAGUUUCCCCAGGUUCACAGACUGAUCUGAGGAUUAAGUAAAAUAAUACAGAGAAGAUUUAGUAAGAUAAUGUAUGUGAAGCUUACAGUGGCCUAACUCACAGGAAGAGCCAAAGAGCCUCUUGAUGUGAAAAAGUUGGCUUAAAGCUCAACAUUCAGAAAAGUAAGAGCAUGGCAUCCAGUCCUACCACUUCAUGCCCAAUA